rnacentral:misc_RNA from 1 species
UCCUGGUUAACCCAGGCAGUCUCGUGUGAAAAAUACAACACACGACAAGGGUUGCGCUCGUUGCGGGACUUAACCCAACAUCUCACGACACGAGCUGACGACGACCAUGCAGCACCUGUCACCAGGCUCCUUGCGGCACUCUCUCGUUUCCAAGAGAUUCCUGGGAUGUCAAACCUUGGUAAGGUUCUCCGCUUAUCGUCGAAUUAAACCACACGCUCCACCGCUUGUGCGGGUCCCCGUCAAUUCCUUUGAGUUUUAAGCUUGCGCUCGUACUCCCCAGGCGGGGUGCUUAACGCGUUAGCUUCGAUACUCAGGGGGUCUAGUCCCCAAAUACCUAGCACCCAUCGUUUACGGCGUGGACUA